GUGGACUUGUUGUAACGCAGGAUUAGUUUGUCCGGUACAAGUUACGGCCCAAGUUUGUUACGGGCCAUUAGAGCCCAACUACUCCUGUGUUUGUGACCUUACAUUAGAGACAAACUACUACUGUGUUUGUUACCUGAUAUUAGAGACAUACUACUCCUGUGUUUGUAACCUUGCAUUAGAGCCCAACUACUCCUGUGUUUGUUACCUUACAUUAGAGCCCAACUACUACUGUGUUUGUUACCUGAUAUUGGAGUCCAACUACUCCUGUGUUUGUUACCUUACAUUAGAGACAAACUACUGUGUUUGUUACCUUUCAUUAGAGACAAAUUACUACUGUUUGUUACCUUACAUUAGCGACAAAUUACGUUUGUAACCAGACCAGGAAUCUGGAGGACUGAUGGAGAAGCCGUACAUCUGGAAGGCAAAUCCUGAGGACAACCAGGACUCUACCAUCAAGGAUUCCUCACACACCUGAGCUGAACCUCACCUGAUCCUCUUUGGUCGGGGGUAGACACACCUGAGCUGAACCCGCCCUGAUCCUGACAUCCUGCUGGUCCCGUCUCCUCAGUUCAUCUGCGCCUCGUCCUCCAGAAGACCUGCUGAGCUCAGCAGUCUGAGCCUGAUGUAUCAAUGACCUCCAGUGGGAGUGAUCUUCUUGACCCCACAUACGUUGGGACCAGACUUGCGCUGUUUGUUCCAGACCAGGACUCUGGCUGAGGAGAGCUGAUGGAGGAGCCAAGACUCUGGAGGACGACAUCACUCCAUCAACAAGGAUCCUCGUAAGUUUGCAUAAAAGACAAACUACUAGUGUCUGGAGGGCUGACGGAGAAGCCGUACAUCUGGAAGGCAAAUCCUGAGGACGACCAGGACUCUACCAUAAAGGAUUCCUCACACACCUGAGCUGAACCUCACCUGAUCCUGUUUGGUUGGGGGCAGACACACCUGAGCUGAACCCCUCCUGAUCCGGACAUCCUGCUGGUCCCGUUUCCUCAGUUCAUCUGAGCCUCGUCCUCCAGAAGACCUGCUGAGCUCAGCGGUCUGAGGCUGAGGGAUCAAUGACCUCCAGUGGGAGUGAUCUUCUUGACCCCACAUGUACCCGUGUGCUUCCACACGCCUUUCCCUGACGUCUGUCACUAACCUCACUACUUCACUACUCUCUACUCCUUCCCCUUCUUCUUCCUUCUCCGUGGUUCGAACCUUUACUCUGAAGGAGUGUCUCCUUGAACCUUUACACUGAAGGAGCGUCUUCCUGCCCUCAGAGGGUUCAGCGUUAGGGUUGAGAGUCAGGGUUUAGAGUCAGGGACAGAGCUGGUCAGGAAGGGCUGGUUUUACACAAACCUCUUCACUUGCUUUCUGAAUGGUGGUGACAUUUUGAAAAGAUUAAUUUGGGAAAAUGUUUUCCUCUGCUUUCCUUCACAAAAAAAAUUAUUAAACUUCUGUGUUUGUAACCAGACCCGGAAUCCAUGGCUGAAGGAGCUGAUGGUGGAGCCGUGCUGGAGGCCCUGCCUGGAGGAGGAGCCGCCGUGCUGAAGGCCCUGCCUGAUGGAGGAGCCGUGCUGGUGGCCCUGCCUGGUGGAGGAUGUCUGUCGUGAGGCCAGGACUCUGUCUGAGGAGAGCUGAUGGAGAGCUGAUGGAGGAGCUGAGACGCUGGAGGAUGACUAGGAAUCAACCAACAAGGAUUCCUCGACGUGUUUCUGGAGCGGAGGCGAGCUGGUAGGGGAGCCGUUAAUCUGGUGGAUGACCAUCUCUCUACCAACAAGGAUUACGUUGGGGCCAGACUUGCGCUGUUUGUUCCAGACCAGGACUCUGGCUGUGGAGCGCUGAUGGAGGAGCCAAGACUCUGCAGGACGACAUCACUCUACCAACAAAGAUCCUCGUAAGUUUGCAUAAAGUAAACAGACUGGACUUGUUGUAACGCAGGAUUAGUUUGUCCAGUAGAAGUUAAGGCAUACUACUGUGGUUGGUUACCAGAAAAACUACAGCUGCUACUUUGUUACGUGCCAUUAGAGCCCAACUACUCCUGUGUUUGUGACCUUACAUUAGAGACAAAUUACAUUUGUAAUCAGACAGGAAUCUGGAGGACUGAUGGAGAAGCCGUACAUCUGGAAGGCAAAUCCUGAGGACAACCAGGACUCUACCAUCAAGGAUUCCUCGUAAGUUUGCAUUAUCUGGACAUCGUGGACUAGACACACCUGAGCUGAACCUCACCUGAUCCUCUUUGGUCGGGGGUAGACACACCUGAGCUGAACCCGCCCUGAUCCUGACAUCCUGCUGGUCCCGUCUCCUCAGUUCAUCUGCGCCUCGUCCUGCAGAAGACCUGCUGAGCUCAGCAGUCUGAGCCUGAUGGAUCAAUGACCUCCAGUGGGAGUGAUCUUCUUGACCCCACAUACCAGGAAUCCAUGGCUGUAGGAGCUGAUGGAGGAGCCGUGCUGAAGGCCCUGCCUGGUGGAGGAGCUGACGGAGGCCCUGCCUGGUGGAGGAUGUCUGUCGUGGGACCAGGACUCUGUCUGAGGAGAGCUGAUGGAGAGCUGAUGGAGGAGCUGAGACGCUGGAGGACGACUAGGAAUCAACCAACAAGAAUUCCUCAACCCUUUCUGGAGUGGAAGCAAGCUGGUAGGGGAGCCGUGAAUCUGGAGGAUGACCAUCUCUCUACCAACAAGGAUUACGUUGGGACCAGACUUGCGCUGUUUGUUCCAGACCAGGACUCUGGCUGAGGAGAGCUGAUGGAGGAGCCAAGACUCUGGAGGACGACAUCACUCCAUCAACAAGGAUCCUCGUAAGUUUGCAUAAAAGACAAACUACUAGUGUCUGGAGGGCUGACGGAGAAGCCGUACAUCUGGAAGGCAAAUCCUGAGGACGACCAGGACUCUACCAUAAAGGAUUCCUUACACACCUGAGCUGAACCUCACCUGAUCCUGUUUGGUCGGGGGCAGACACACCUGAGCUGAACCCCUCCUGAUCCGGACAUCCUACUGGUCCCGUUUCCUCAGUUCAUCUGAGCCUCGUCCUCCAGAAGACCUGCUGAGCUCAGCGGUCUGAGGCUGAGGGAUCAAUGACCUCCAGUGGGAGUGAUCUUCUUGACCCCACAUACCCGGAAUCCAUGGCUGAAGGAGCUGAUGGUGGAGCCGUGCUGGAGGCCCUGCCUGGAGGAGGAGCCGUGCUGGAGGCCCUGCCUGGAGGAGGAGCCGUGCUGGAGGCCCUGCCUGGUGGAGGAGCCGUGCUGGUGGCCCUGCCUGGUGGAGGAUGUCUGUCGUGAGACCAGGACUCUGUCUGAGGAGAGCUGAUGGAGGAGCUGAGACGCUGGAGGACGACUAGGAAUCGACCAACAAGGAUUCCUCGACGUGUUUCUGGAGCGGAGGCGAGCUGGUAGGGGAGCCAUUCAUCUGGAGGAUGACCAUCUCUCUACCAACAAGGAUUACGUUGGGGCCAGACUUGCGCUGUUUGUUCCAGACCAGGACUCUGGCUGUGGAGCGCUGAUGGAGGAGCCAAGACUCUGCAGGACGACAUCACUCUACCAACAAAGAUCCUCACCAGGAAUCUGGAGGACUGACGGAGAAGCCGUACAUCCGGAAGGCAAAUCAUGAGGACAACCAGGACUCUACCAUCAAGGAUUCCUCACACACCUGAGCUGAACCUCACCUGAUCCUGUUUGGUCGGGGGAAGACGCACCUGAGCUGAACCGAACCUGAUUGGUCGGGGGCAGACUCACCUGAGCUGAACCUCGCCUGAUCCUGUUUGGUCGGGGGCAGACUCACCUGAGCUGAACCCACCCUGAUCCUGACAUCCUGCUGGUCCCGUUUCCUCAGUUCAUCUGAGCCUCUUCCUCCAGAAGACCUGCUGAGCUCAGCGGUCUGAGGCUGAUGUAUCAAUGACCUCCAGUGGGAGUGAUCUUCUUGACCCCACAUGUAGCCGUGUGCUUCCACACGCCUUUCCCUCACUUCUGUCACUAACCUCACUACUUCACUACUCUCUACUCCUUCCCCUUCUUCUUCCUUCUCCGUGGUUCGAACCUUUACUCUGAAGGAGGGCCUUCUUGAACGUUUACACUGAAGGAGCGUCUUCCUGCCCUCAGAGGGUUCAGCGUUAGGGUUGAGAGUCAGGGUUUAGAGUCAGGGACAGAGCUGGAUAGGGAGGACUGGUUUUGCACAAACCUCUUCACUUGCUUUCUAAAUGGGGACAUUUUGAAAAGAAUCAUCUGGGAAAAUGUUUUACUCUGCUUUCCUUUACAAAAAUAUGUAAACUUCUGUCAAGUGUUUUUGUUUAUAUAUUAAAAUCCCACAUUGACUUCUGCAUAUUUGGUGCUGUUCAUUUAAUUGUCCUUUAACUUGGUUAAUGUCAAGCUAAACUCUUGCAAUACAUUUAAUAUACAUGAUGAAUGUUAUUCAGCAAUGUUCACAUAAUCCAUUUUGUAAAAAUACGAAACCUCCAUAUUACUACUAAAUUCAAGCCUAGUCAUGUAUUUAACAAUGUACAUACUGCCCCGCAGGCCAUUCUCUGCUACUACAACACGUUCAAUCCACCAACCCGUCUCAAAUCAAUGUACUAUAGCUACGUUGGUUCAAACGGAAAAUGUAGUUUGGUGUGAGACUGUCCAGCAGAGGGAGCUGUCAUACACCUUAAUUAAAUAUACAGGAAUGUGUGUGUAUUUACAUUUUAAAAUGUGAAUGUGCUGGUCUAGUUUGUCUGCAAAUAACUCUGCCUCCAGCAACAGGAUUGGUCGAAACAUGAAGUGAAAGAAAUAAAAGCCUACUUCACCGGAUCUGAGGUCAGCUGCUGUCAGAUUUUGGAUCAUGAAGGUAUUGAGUGAACGAGGUCUGAGCUAA